rnacentral:rRNA from 1 species
UACGGAGGGGGCUAGCGUUGUUCGGAAUUACUGGGCGUAAAGCGCGCGUAGGCGGCUUUGCAAGUCGGGUGUGAAAGCCCUCAGCUUAACUGAGGAAGUGCGCCCGAAACUGCAGAGCUUGAGUACCGGAGAGGAUGGCGGAAUUCCCCAAGUAGAGGUGAAAUUCGUAGAUAUGGGGAGGAACACCGGUGGCGAAGGCGGCCAUCUGGACGGAUACUGACGCUGAGACGCGAAAGCGUGGGGAGCAAACAGG